rnacentral:hammerhead_ribozyme from 1 species
AUCCAGCUCACGGGUCCAAAAUAGGACGAAACGCGUGUACUGGAU